GAGAACUUAGCAGAGAUGCUUUGGUGCCUUCGGGAACCCUGAGACAGGUGCUGCAUGGCUGUCGUCAGCUCGUGUUGUGAAAUGUUGGGUUAAGUCCCGCAACGAGCGCAACCCUUAUCCUUUGUUGCCAGCGGUUCGGCCGGGAACUCAAAGGAGACUGCCGGUGAUAAACCGGAGGAAGGUGGGGAUGACGUCAAGUCAUCAUGGCCCUUACGGCCAGGGCUACACACGUGCUACAAUGGCGCAUACAAAGAGAAGCGACCUCGCGAGAGCAAGCGGACCUCAUAAAGUGCGUCGUAGUCCGGAUUGGAGUCUGCAACUCGACUCCAUGAAGUCGGAAUCGCUAGUAAUCGUAGAUCAGAAUGCUACGGUGAAUACGUUCCCGGGCCUUGUACACACCGCCCGUCACACCAUGGGAGUGGGUUGCAAAAGAAGUAGGUAGCUUAACCUUCGGGAGGGCGCUUACCACUUUGUGAUUCAUGACUGGGGUGAAGUCGUAACAAGGUAGGCGUAGCGAG
rnacentral:rRNA from 1 species